AGGCCGGGUAAGGAGAUCCUGCAGGAUGGGGCUCCUCCUGGGCUCCUCUGACUAAGUGAGCCCGGGAGUGGUGGAGGCGAGAGCACUAGGGAAGGAGAGGAAGAGGAUGAUGGCUGAAAGGAGCUAGGAGAGACGUGAAAGGUUAUCCUAGGUUUAACCUCUCUAGUGACAAAUGGGAAAAUGAGGAGGCCCGAUUAAGUUGGUUUGCCAAGUUUACCCCAGGAGUUAAGUGGAAGGCAGGCGCACCCUGGUCAAUGUGAAAUUGUACACAGGACGUGCUUUAAAGACAUUGCUACCAGAUGUACAGAGGAUACUGCUAGGAUGCUGAUGAGAAACCAAAUUCAGCUGACCCUUCAAAGAAGGGCUAAAAGGGUUGAAGUAUGCACUAACGGAGAAAAUACUCAAGCAUCAGUUCACAGAUACUUUUAAGAAGUAUUGAAAUACUUUAGCCAACAGGUUUGAUUGGUUGUCUUGACAAUAUUGGAUCCUUGGGCUCCCUCUGGUGGUAAAAUUAAGUACUCGAACUUCUCCCAACCACACAGGACCACCACCAAGGAAUGAAAUAAUCGAAAUAUGACAUACUGAGAAAAUUUAAUUAAUCAACAAGAAUUUAUUAAAAGUGCCUACUACAUGGGGCAGCUUUGUGGUACAGUGGAUAGAGCACCAUCCUUGAAGUCAAGAGGACUGGAGUUCAAAUCU